rnacentral:misc_RNA from 1 species
UAACUAUAGAGAAUAUUCCCUGUACACCUACAUAUUUGACUUAAUCAUGCUAGUUUCAAGUUUUUCCACAACUGUGACCUCAAGUAGUGGUCCUUCCAAGUUCAGAUUUUACUGCUAGUUGUCCUCUCCAUUUUUAUUUUGGGUUGAUAUUUUUCAGUGGAAAUGUGGAUUGAACAUUAUGGAUGGUGACCAUGCUAGACUUUUGCAGACAGAAGAAAUAAGGGGAUUGGGUGGGGGAGAGGCUAGUGUCAAAAUAUACAUCAUCUCGGAGCAAAUUAGUUAGUGUCUUUACUCCUGGAGGAGAUAGCAGAAAGAAAUCAUCCUUUAAAACCACCUAUAGACACCGGUGAACAAACAGAAAACAAUAGCCGAGACCUUAGAAGAACUUCUUGCUGAAGUUUACAACUUAAAGCCCUCAAGGGUGGGGGCAAAAAGCAAAUUUAUGGGAUUCAGCUGAUGCAGCAAAUUGAUAUCUACUCGUCAACUGCAACGAAAGGGAUUCCCCUGACAAUGUAAAGUAUGUUAUCAUUUUAUGCCUGAACUAAAUUAGGAGAUAAAGAAAGUACAUUAUCAAGCAGAAAAUGAAGUGAACAGAAACAUCAGAUAGCACUGCUGGGAUUGAUGGAAGCAGCUAAGCAGCCAAGACUUGGAGAAAACCAGAAAUCACAAAUUUGUUUUGUGGCUGUUGUGAAGACAACUGAACGUUAAUAUGAUUUUAGGAAGUUCAGUAAACAAGCUUACCAGCCACCGUGCCUUGAAAAAUAGUCAUUAUCUAAAGAAAUGGCAAGAGCAACAGCUACAGCCCUCUCUGAUAAUGUCAAAGGACGGGCAACUUCCAAAUCAUGAGUCUAAAAUAGAAAAAGCAAAACAUCAUAGAGAAGAACAAGUCACCAAAAGAAUAUAGAAUAUCACGUACAAAAGGUAGAAACCAAAGAAAUUUCACUUUCUGAUUGGAAAUUUUACCGCUGCAGCGUGAGCACUCUUGGAACUGGGAUCAGAACUACCAAAUCGUAUCACAUACUGACCAGCAUCAGUAAAGAUCUGCACGUAUUUGGGAACCCAAAAGAGAAUUAUAAAAAUUGCCUUUCCAUCUUGCAAUUGAUGCAAUUACAAUGUUCACCAGCCUUGUCCCCCUGUUUUAACACAACUCUUUGGUGAUAACAAUAUCUGUUCUAAUCCAGAAAGGCAGACCUCUAAUUUCUCCUUCCCUAACCAAAUAUGACUCUCAUUUAUUUAUUUAGUCACAAUUCAGUUCUCCAGGGUCCUGCAUGUUGAGGAACCACAAAAAUCAAUUUGACACAAGGUGGCUGAACUCUACAUUGGUUACAGUAUAGAAGGCAAGGUCCCACAAAGGAAUAGCUAAGCAGUAGCAUUAUGAAAGAUUAAGACCUUUGCUUGGCACAAUAAUAAAUAAGGCAAAGUACAAAAAAGUAUCAUGUGAUUUAACACAUUUUCAAGUUUGGGCAUGUGUUUUGUUUCUUGACAAUCAUGUGCCUUAUAUUUUGCCCCAUCAAUUAAAAAGGUAUAAAACUCAAACGCUGUCAGCUCAAAUUAGACGGUGUUAAGGGAUUUCUCCUUUUUGCUAAUGGAGCAAAAUAUAGGGCACGUGUUUAUCAAGAAAUAAAACACAGGCCCAAACUAAAAUACACUAAACAACAACGUUUUUUUUUGUACUUUGCCCUAGUUAAUAUCCAAUGAUAAGUCCUAUCAUUACCAUCUCAACUGGAUAUCAGUUCUGAAAAUUGACUCCUUAUAUCUAUGAAUUGUACAACCCAAUUAAUCAAAUUCCUUUUACCAUCAUUUUUUGUUGCUUCUGUCUUCAAUUAAUAUCUCAGACAACUUUCACAAACAGAGCAAGCUUGAAGAAUCAAAACAAUGAUAACAAACAAAACAGAAUAACUUUUAAUGUCCAGUGACGUCUAAAACCAAGUGAAAUGCAGGCCAAUAAUUCUUAGAAGCAGGUAUUUUACCACAAACAUUUCUAAGUUAUACAAGUCAGGAAUGAACAAAAAAUGCACAAGAAUCAAUUAUUGAUACUAUGUCACAAAGAAAAGAGACAACCUCAAAUCCAAAACCCCUCCAAUCCCGAUCUAUUUGAGCCACAACUUCCCCAUUAAUAUCCUUCAACGUAAAUGUCCAAUUCCAAAGUCCAGGAUUUUCAACCACAGCAAAUUGAUUAUUUCCAAGGUACAAAUCAUAUAUUCUCCUCCAAAGAUGCCAUCGUCUAUGAACCACACCAACUUCUUUACCAUUAAUCUCUGCAUAAAUUGAGCUGGUUAUCCACCAAAAUGGCCUCCGAACCCUAAACAGCUCAUUACCCAUAGCAUCAGUUAUGUAAGCAACAAAAGGGCGCCUCAGACGAAGCAACUGCCUAGCAAUUACAUUACUCUGCUCACGAAUAAAACCCACAGGAGACUGCGGGUAGCACACAUCUACUACUGCAUAACGGUUUUCCUGCUCAAAACCAAGUACUAGAUUCGCCCACUCUAUAUCCCUAGUAAUCAGCAAGUUUGACCUGGCAAGAAGAGGUGCAACCAAGGCUUCCUCUGGAGAAGCUGGCUUCAGAAGACCAGAGACGGAUUGGCUAGGAGGAGUUUGCUUCAGAACUCUUUUUCCAUGGUCGUAAGAUCUUUCUUCUGUCGAAGUUCCACCCGAAAACAGUCUUCCAAUUGAAUGUAAGAAGGAUCGAUACUGAUUAUAUGCUACAUUACCAUAAUUGUCAUACUUAGCCAUCUCAUUACCAUAAUUGUCAUACUUUGCCAUCUUUCUUCUUCUUUUCUUUCUAGAUUUUUCCAUUUUCCUAUCUGCAAUCCAAAGCUGAACAAGGAAAUCUCUACUCAAAUGAGGAUCAUUCUCCACAUCAUGUGCAAAUCCACGAGAGGCACUCAUUCUGCCCUUUUUCAACCCAACGGAACUUCUCUCAAAAGAAGGAGAAAGCCCAUAUUUGGAUAACACAUUUCUUGCUAAAAUCAGCCUUUGCUGAGGGUCAACAUCUGCAGCCCACAAAUCAUUCUUUUCUGCCGGCAACCAUCCUCUCUGAGGCUGCAAGCAAUAGAUACUUCGAGCCCUUUCAAUGCUAGGGAUACCAUAUUGAUGAUGCUUACUAAACAACGACACCCCAAGAUCAGAGACUGUGAUUUUGUUACACUUGGCAAAGAAACGAUAACGCUUUAUCCAACUCAUCUAAAACCAAUCGUGGCAAUGCUGCUUCUUUCUCUGAGCUCUGUGUACUGUGCUCUUCUUCCUCUCUCGGCUUCUCG